rnacentral:misc_RNA from 1 species
GUAAUUUAUAAAAGGUGGAACCCGAGAAAAUGCAGCAUCAUUCAUUCCCAAAAGCUUCGUUUUAGAAUUUCAACGUUAGGCUUUUUCGAAAAAAUGAGUACCGCUAAGCAUUUUCAAAGAAUUCUUGAGGAAUUGACAAUCUCUGACAAUGAAAGGCCCGUAUAUACCAAAGAAGCCGAGGAAAUUCAAAACUAUGUAGUUGACGAACUUAAACGGGUAGACAAAACCUUUCGCCAGGUAUUCGACGGAUUCAGUCUUGGCGGAAGUUACUUGGAUCGCGUCAAGCUAAAUGUGCCCGAUGAAUUUGACCUGCACAUGAAACUAAAGUUUCCAUUUGAUAUCCGACCGAAUCGGAUGAACAGUGGGUUUGUCUAUUUAGAGGGUGAUUUCACCGUAAUCAAUCCUCAACGCAUCAAUCGUUUUGUACUUCAAGACUGGCUACGCAAUGCAUUCCGCAAGGUAUUCGAGUCUAAUCAGACAGUUGCCACUACCACUAAACGAGUCUACAUAUUAAGCUAUACUCUUGAGGGGUAUGGUUGUGCACAUACCAUUUCAGCCGUCUGUGGUAGCCGCUCGAUAUCUUUUGAUUUGGUACCAGCAUUCGAAUUCUCUGGAAGCCAAUGGCCGUUUGAUAUUUGUCCGGUUCCUGCUGAAGUUAGAAAUAAUUGGCCUUGGUUCGCCAUUCCUCAAAAGAAGAAGAGGUUGAGAACCACAUUUAUGGUUUGUGCACCACAUUGGGAGCGCGAAAUUAUGAAGGGCAAGGAUAAUUUGAAGAACGUUCUUCGGCUGAUGAAAGGAUUGCGGGACGCCCACGCCAGGAACUUGCCUCACUUGUCCAGUUAUAUGUUGAAAACAGUUUUGCUUCAUCGCCUCGAAAGUGCUGACUGGGAAAGAGACUUGGGCACCCUUUUGGUUGAGAUGUGGAGUCAUUUGGUGAAUCAUCUGCGCGCACGUCGCCUGGAGUUCUUUUUGGAUAAAGAUCAUAAUAUAUUCAAUCGUAUGAGUCCACAUGAAAUCAGGAAAUGUUUAGAAAACGCAAACACUCUGCUUAAAGAACUUCGUUUUGCUCAGACAUGCGGCAGCAGUUACCAUCAUGUGGCCAAACUAUUCAAUAUUCCAAAUUAAUAAAUUUAAUUAUAUAUAUAAUUUUAAUUCCAAAUAAAUUUAAUUUCAGAACAAUACCGAGCCUUCUUCAAAUAAUCGAUUAUAUCCGGGGCUGAAUAAGGAAAUAUCUUGCUGAAUAGCAGAACUUUUGUGUAAGAAAGAAGUUCAAUCAAAAUUCAUUUCGCGCGCACAUUUCAUUGUUUAUAUUGUCCCUGAACUUUGUUUAAAAAUAAAGCUAUGAAAAUAACUGA